GGUCGGUUAGCUCAGUUGGUUAGAGCGUCGUAUGUCGCCCUUAGGAAAAUCCUCUCUCAACAGCAUUCGCUAAUACGCUCCAGGUACUAAUAUAAUAACUUCAUUAUACUAAGUAAUGCGAAGGUCAUGAGUUCGACCCUCAUACUGACCA